GCCGGGGGUGCAAUGGGCCGCAGGAUCCCAAUUGGGCCUGGCCUUACCGCCGGCGAUUUUGGCCCAAAAACGCCGGGGGUAGCGGGCCUUACCGCUGGCGAACCCGAACCGAAGAUGCCGGGGGUAACGGGUGGGCUUCAAAUGACUAGAAACAAUAAAAGAGGUCUUAGAAAAGGGUAAAAAAGGGUGGCUUUUUUGCGCCCACAGGGAUUCGAACCCUGGAUGCUGCGGCUGUGCACAAGUGAGUGGAACCACUGUGUUACUGAAUCAUUUUUGAGAAACUACAUGGUUUACGGAACUAAACGUGUCCCCAGCGAAUUAGUCGUUUUCGCCGGUGGUAACUGCACUUGGUCCCACCUGAUAGUGGCUGAAAUGUUACCGCCGGCGUUUACGACAAAACGCCGGGGUACGCGUUCCACGACUUAAGUCGUGUGGCCGUCGUUCCCCACAGCCAAAUCGACCAAAAAUCCCCCACCGCAUCUCGAUCCCCUGCCGCCGUCGAUCCGCCACCUGCUGCCGUCGUUGCCGUCGCCCUCCACCGCAGCACCUCGCCUCGUCGCCCUCCGUCGCAGCACCUCGCCCCAUCACCCUCCGUCGCAGCAGCUCGCCUCGUCGCCCUCCGUCGCAGCAUCUCGCCUCGUCUCCCUCAGCUCUCCCUCCCCUGACUUCUCCACAUCUUCGCUGCCGUGCAUCUCCACAGACGCUUGCUCAAGAAAUGGCUGCAUUUGAAAUGACUUCACUGUAUGCUUGGUCAUGGCAGUUUGUUGCCCAGAUGUGGAGGACCCCUUUCAUCGCGAUGAUGCUUGCCGCCACCGCCUCUCUAGUCUACUAUGUCAUUGUUGUUUAGCUAGGUCGUCGACUGAACUUAUAUGUAUUUGUAUAAUAUGUGCUACUUCGAGUCACGAUGUUUGAACCAUUUGGUCAACUAGCUACUAUCUAAACUUGUGUUAUUGAUGCAUUUUUUUGAGGUUAUGAACAUUUGGGACUUUCUAUAUAACUGUGUAUCUGUGUAUCUGGCUGUAAUUCUAGUAAUAACUGUGUUAUUGAUUGAUGUGUGUAUUCCUGUGUA